rnacentral:misc_RNA from 1 species
UUGAAUUUUAAAGGAUGUGCUGGCUGCCCUCAGAGGUUUGCAUGUGCACUCUACAAAAUCUCCAUUCUCUACACCAUUGUGCACAACCCAGUAGGCAAAACAGGUUCACAGAGCAAUCUGUGCACAUUGUCUGCCUAUGCUUUUUAUACCAAACCCCAAUAAUAUGUCAGAAUGAUGUAUUGCAGUAAGCUUUCACAAGCUGAAUCUAAUA